rnacentral:tRNA from 1 species
AGGGGCGUAGCUCAAUAAUAGAGCUGCGGGCUUUUAACCCGAAGAUCUUGGUUCGAUUCCAGGCGCCCCUA